ACACAUGCAAGUCGAGGGGAAACGACAUCGAAAGCUUGCUUUUGAUGGGCGUCGACCGGCGCACGGGUGAGUAACGCGUAUCCAACCUGCCCAUCACUUGGGGAUAACCUUGCGAAAGUAAGACUAAUACCCAAUGAUAUCUCUAGAAGGCAUCUGAAAGAGAUUAAAGAUUUAUCGGUGAUGGAUGGGGAUGCGUCUGAUUAGCUUGUUGGCGGGGUAACGGCCCACCAAAGCAACGAUCAGUAGGGGUUCUGAGAGGAAGGUCCCCCACAUUGGAACUGAGACACGGUCCAAACUCCUACGGGAGGCAGCAGUGAGGAAUAUUGGUCAAUGGACGAGAGUCUGAACCAGCCAAGUAGCGUGCAGGAUGACGGCCCUAUGGGUUGUAAACUGCUUUUAUAAGGGAAUAAAGUGAGUCUCGUGAGACUUUUUGCAUGUACCUUAUGAAUAAGGACCGGCUAAUUCCGUGCCAGCAGCCGCGGUAAUACGGAAGGUCCGGGCGUUAUCCGGAUUUAUUGGGUUUAAAGGGAGCGUAGGCCGGAGAUUAAGCGUGUUGUGAAAUGUAGAUGCUCAACAUCUGCACUGCAGCGCGAACUGGUUUCCUUGAGUACGCACAAAGUGGGCGGAAUUCGUGGUGUAGCGGUGAAAUGCUUAGAUAUCACGAAGAACUCCGAUUGCGAAGGCAGCUCACUGGAGCGCAACUGACGCUGAA
rnacentral:rRNA from 1 species